rnacentral:misc_RNA from 1 species
CAGCGGGACUUGGUAAUGUGUAAAGG